UGCUCCCUCACGGUUCCCACAAUCCCCAUGCUGUAUCAGUAUAAUGCUGUGCUGGGGAUUGUGGGAACUGCGAGGGAGC